rnacentral:rRNA from 1 species
AACGAACGCUGGCGGCAUGCCUAACACAUGCAAGUCGAACGAGACCUUCGGGUCUAGUGGCGCACGGGUGCGUAACGCGUGGGAAUCUGCCCUCAGGUACGGAAUAACUCAGGGAAACUUGAGCUAAUACCGUAUAAUGACUUCGGUCCAAAGAUUUAUCGCCUGGGAAUGAGCCCGCGUCGGAUUAGCUAGUUGGUGAGGUAAAGGCUCACCAAGGCGACGAUCCGUAGCUGGUCUGAGAGGAUGAUCAGCCACACUGGGACUGAGACACGGCCCAGACUCCUACGGGAGGCAGCAGUGGGGAAUAUUGGACAAUGGGCGCAAGCCUGAUCCAGCAAUGCCGCGUGAGUGAUGAAGGCCUUAGGGUUGUAAAGCUCUUUUACCCGGGAAGAUAAUGACUGUACCGGGAGAAUAAGCCCCGGCUAACUCCGUGCCAGCAGCCGCGGUAAUACGGAGGGGGCUAGCGUUGUUCGGAAUUACUGGGCGUAAAGCGCACGUA